GGGGGCGGCAGUCUAUACAUGCAGUCGAGCGAACAGAUAAGGAGCUUGCUCCUUUGACGUUAGCGGCGGACGGGUGAGUAACACGUGGGUAACCUACCUAUAAGACUGGGAUAACUUCGGGAAACCGGAGCUAAUACCGGAUAACAUUUGGAACCGCAUGGUUCUAAAGUGAAAGAUGGUUUUGCUAUCACUUAUAGAUGGACCCGCGCCGUAUUAGCUAGUUGGUAAGGUAACGGCUUACCAAGGCGACGAUACGUAGCCGACCUGAGAGGGUGAUCGGCCACACUGGAACUGAGACACGGUCCAGACUCCUACGGGAGGCAGCAGUAGGGAAUCUUCCGCAAUGGGCGAAAGCCUGACGGAGCAACGCCGCGUGAGUGAUGAAGGGUUUCGGCUCGUAAAACUCUGUUAUUAGGGAAGAACAAAUGUGUAAGUAACUGUGCACGUCUUGACGGUACCUAAUCAGAAAGCCACGGCUAACUACGUGCCAGCAGCCGCGGUAAUACGUAGGUGGCAAGCGUUAUCCGGAAUUAUUGGGCGUAAAGCGCGCGUAGGCGGUUUCUUAAGUCUGAUGUGAAAGCCCACGGCUCAACCGUGGAGGGUCAUUGGAAACUGGGAAACUUGAGUGCAGAAGAGGAAAGUGGAAUUCCAUGUGUAGCGGUGAAAUGCGCAGAGAUAUGGAGGAACACCAGUGGCGAAGGCGACUUUCUGGUCUGUAACUGACGCUGAUGUGCGAAAGCGUGGGGAUCAAACAGGAUUAGAUACCCUGGUAGUCCACGCCGUAAACGAUGAGUGCUAAG
rnacentral:rRNA from 1 species